UACAGAGGUGGCAAGCGUUGUUCGGAAUUACUGGGCGUAAAGGGCGCGUAGGCGGUUCGUUAAGUCCUGUGUGAAAUCCCCCGGCUCAACUGGGGAACUGCACAGGAAACUAGCGGGCUUGAGUUCGGGAGGGGGAAGCGGAAUUCCGGGUGUAGCGGUGAAAUGCGCAGAUAUCAGGAGGAACACCAAUUGCGAAGGCAGCUCGCUGGGACGUUACUGACGCUGAGACGCGAAAGCGUGGGGAGCAAACAGG
rnacentral:rRNA from 1 species